AGUUGAUGAUGUGGAUGUAUCAGGUUAUUCCUGAUACAGGGAUGUAUGGGAACUGCUGAAUCACGGCCCGAACCUCUGACCACCUGAAUCAGCCCUGGGAGCACAGGUGAAGACAAUUCCCCUGUGCUACUGGAAGGGGGGGGAGCCUGGCUGCGCCGCUCCUAGACCCCAUUUAAGAACUGACUACCACUGGGGAAGGAUGUCUUUUGGAGAUUGCUCCUCUUGGAGUCUUCUCAGUGAGCCCAGGACAAAGGUCUCAGCUCAAAGAACCACCUUACUCACCACUGCUGUGUCUGGAUUAGGUCUGUUAGUCUGCGUGGAACAUGCCUCAGCUCUGAGAUGUGGACCAGCUGCUGAGAUACAGUAGUGGUAAUGAAUUUUUACUGAGCACACCUUGUUUGAAGAACGCUUCCAGAUCGACGCCAGGUACUCUCUGCCUCAGGCUGAUGGAAAAACAGGGACCUGACCAGAGACUUAGCCUAACUUGAAGACUGACCAGUCCAGAGCACGUUGGAAAAUAUAUGGCAGGUGUUGAGAAAAAACGUGGAAAGGGGAGCGCUGAGGUAAACGCAGCAGACCGAGGAUUCGUCAUCCCUUUGUUUCGAUUGCUGGAUGAAGAAUAUGAAAAAACUGCUUGAACAGAAAGCAGAAUCCCAAGUCAGACACUCUUCAAGCAAUUCUGUUUCCAUGGUUCUCUUAGCAGAAUUUGAAGAAAACAUUUCUAAACUAAAAGCAAACUGACUGACCUAAAAUGUCAAUGCACUUACAUUGUUGGAUUUAAAUAGUGAAAU